rnacentral:rRNA from 1 species
GAUGAACGCUAGCGGCAGGCUUAACACAUGCAAGUCGAGGGGUAUAGGUUUUCGGACCUAGAGACCGGCGCACGGGUGCGUAACGCGUAUGCAAUCUACCUUUCACAGAGGGAUAGCCCAGAGAAAUUUGGAUUAAUACCUCAUAGUAUAGCAGUUUCGCAUGAAACCACUAUUAAAGUUCCAACGGUAAAAGAUGGGCAUGCGUCCUAUUAGCUAGAUGGUAAGGUAACGGCUUAGCAUGGCAACGAAAGGUAGGGGUCCUGAGAGGGAGAUCCCCCACACUGGUACUGAGACAAGGACCAGACUCCUACGGGAGGCAGCAGUGAGGAAUAUUGGACAAUGGGCGCAAGCCUGAUCCAGCCAUGCCGCGUGCAGGAAGAAGCAUCUAUGGUGUGUAAACUGCUUUUGUACAGGAAGAAACACCCCGACGUGUCGGGACUUGACGGUACUGUAAGAAUAAGGAUCGGCUAACUCCGUGCCAGCCGCCGCAGUAAAAC